rnacentral:rRNA from 1 species
GAUGAACGCUGGCGGCGUGCUUAACACAUGCAAGUCGAACGAAGCAUAAGGAGCGGAACUCUUCGGAGGGAAGCACCAUAUGACUGAGUGGCGGACGGGUGAGUAACGCGUGGAUAACCUGCCUCAUACAGGGGGAUAACAGCCGGAAACGGCUGCUAAUACCGCAUAAGCGCACAGGACCGCAUGGUCCGGUGUGAAAAACUCCGGUGGUAUGAGAUGGAUCCGCGUCUGAUUAGCUAGUUGGUAAGGUAAAGGCUUACCAAGGCGACGAUCAGUAGCCGGCCUGAGAGGGCGACCGGCCACAUUGGGACUGAGACACGGCCCAAACUCCUACGGGAGGCAGCAGUGGGGAAUAUUGCACAAUGGGGGAAACCCUGAUGCAGCGACGCCGCGUGAAGGAAGAAGUAUUUCGGUAUGUAAACUUCUAUCAGCAGGGAAGAAAAUGACGGUACCUGACUAAGAAGCCCCGGCUAAUUACGUGCCAGCCGCCGCCGUAACAC